rnacentral:rRNA from 1 species
AGUACAGUGGCGACCGGGUGAGUAACACGUGACUAACCUACCUUUCUGUGGGGAAUAACUCCGGGUAAACCGGCCGCUAAUACCGCAUAACACCGCGAGAAGAAAUGCUUGCGGUCAAAGGAGCAAUUCGCAGAUCGAGGGGGUCGCGGCUGAUUAGCUAGUUGGUGAGGUAACGGCUCACCAAGGCGAUGAUCAGUAGCCGGCCUGAGAGGGCGCACGGCCACACUGGAACUGAAACACGGUCCAGACUCCUACGGGAGGCAGCAGUGGGGAAUUUUGCGCAAUGGGGGAAACCCUGACGCAGCAACGCCGCGUGGAGGAUGAAGUCCCUUGGGACGUAAACUCCUUUCGACCGGGACGAUGAUGACGGUACCGGGAGAAGAAGCCCCGGCUAACUCCGUGCCAGCAGCCGCGGUAAUACGGGGGGGGCGAGCGUUGUUCGGAAUUAUUGGGCGUAAAGGGCGCGUAGGCGGUGUCGCAAGUCGGUAGUGAAAUCUCCAGGCUCAACUUGGAGUCUGCUGCCGAAACUGCGGUGCUUGAGUACUGGAGAGGUGAGUGGAAUUCCCGGUGUAGCGGUGAAAUGCNUAAAUAUCGGGAAGAACACCUGUGGCNNAAGCGGCUCACUGGACAGUAACUGACGCUGAGGCGCGAAAAGCUAUGGGAGCAAACAGGAUUAGAUACCCUGGUAGUCCUAGCCCUAAACGAUGGAAUGCUUGGUGUAGC